UUCUCCUCUCCAUACUCAUGUGCCAUGACCGUCAGUUGCACUCCCUUCUAAAGGCUACCAUGAGUCGCAGACACAUAUCUCUACUGUAGCCCACAGCCUGGAACCAAGACCAAGAACCAUUUUACCAUGUGGUGAGAAAUCUACUCUUCUGCCCAUUGCCAUGGAAGAACAGCAUCAAAGACAAAGAGCCCAGCCGAGCAGCCCGGGGUCUUGGAGUCCAGGCCCAGUUCCGUACUGAACUAGCUGCUGUGGGUCUCAGAUAGGUUUCUGGACUCCUCUGAGUUUACAAUUCUUCAUCAACCAGAUGCAGAUUUCCCACAAAUGUAUGUAACAGAGAUUUUCUUUCACCUGAAAAAAAAUGGAGGAUUAUAAAGCUUUCUGGAUCCCCACACCAAGUUGUCAGGAAGUCCAUGUAUGGGGUGAGUUCUCUGAAGUGUGUGAAAUGCAAGAGGAAAGACUGGCCAAUGGGCAUCCCAGACCUCUCCAGUGUUCUCCAGAGCCUGGCUGAGACUUUGGCACCAGGAAACCCAGAGAGGAGUGAAGACAAACCUUUUCCAGAAUAAAGCAGGUGACAAGUCCUAAUGGAUUCUGAAGAGGGCUUCUGUUCCUGCCCUUAGCCAUUGUCCAGUCAUUUGUAGCCCGGAAUCCUUCCCAGAAGCUCUUUCUCUCAGAAAAGGAAAUUGGCAGCCCUGGGAAGUGAACAGCUCUCAGCUUGGACUUGAUUAGGGACCAAUUUUGGGCCUGUUAGCCGAGCUUCCAGUAUCAUCUCAGCCAAUUACUGGCCCAGCCUGGCCUCCAGCUGGCUGCUUCCUUCCAAGCUGGAUACUUUUAUUCCAGCGGAACAAUCCCCUGCUCCUGAGGCAAGAAACCAGGGUGACUGUGGCCCAUUAAAAAAGAUGGUGAGAGACAUAAUUCACUCAGUAAGAUAAUGGAGUAGGCAGGGUUUCACCUGCAGCUUUAAUUGGAAAAAAUCCUCAAUAAACAGUCUUGUGGCUUGUGUAUAAUAAGUAUGGGAAUUUACAAACUCUCCCCAGCUAUUGGACUCUGAUGACUAUUAAAGUUCGUGUCUGGCAGAGGAAUUUUGGCCUGAUGGACUAAGUUACUGGCCUCUGCCAAACCAAACAGGCUGGCAACCAGAAGGGAAGCCUGCGGGAUGGAGCUUACACCACCCACUUCUCCAGGACUCCAAGGGUUCCUUUGGGCCGGGCUAUCCACAGAUCAAGACUGGUUGCUAAGGAUGUUAGUGUUCACCCAAAGAUUUGCCACUCUAUUCCUUCAUCGGCUCUGCAAGUUCAAAUCCGUAGAACAUACAUCACAAGGCUGGGCCCGACCAUGCACAUCGAUAACUCCAGUGUGUGGGGCAGGGCAGGCAGACCCUGGGAGUUUUCUGGCCAGCUAGUCAGUCUGACAUGAACUUCCAGGAAGGAUCCCCUACGAUGACCAUUAAGGAAAGUGUGAACAAGGAUGAGCAGAAUGGGAAAAUAGGGAUCAGAAAGAAAGAAGAAAUUGAACACUGGCUUUCUCGGGAUGAAUAUAUGCUUAGAAGAAAGUGUUAUCAAGGGGAAUCACCUGUGACAACCUGUCAUGUUAGCAUUAACAUGAUUCAACUUCUGCAUCCCCACAGUCACAGGAAGAAAAGAAA